rnacentral:rRNA from 1 species
AUUGAACGCUGGCGGCAUGCUUUACACAUGCAAGUCGAACGGCAGCGCGGGCUUCGGCCUGGCGGCGAGUGGCGAACGGGUGAGUAAUACAUCGGAACGUGCCCAGUAGUGGGGGAUAGCUCGGCGAAAGCCGGAUUAAUACCGCAUACGACCUGAGGGUGAAAGCGGGGGAUCUUCGGACCUCGCGCUAUUGGAGCGGCCGAUGGCAGAUUAGCUAGUUGGUGGGGUAAAGGCCUACCAAGGCGACGAUCUGUAGCUGGUCUGAGAGGACGACCAGCCACACUGGGACUGAGACACGGCCCAGACUCCUACGGGAGGCAGCAGUGGGGAAUUUAGGACAAUGGGCGAAAGCCUGAUCCAGCAAUGCCGCGUGUGUGAUGAAGGCCUUCGGGUUGUAAAGCACUUUUGGCGGGAACGAAAAGGACUGUGCCAAUACCACGGUUCGAUGACGGUACCCGCAGAAUAAGCACCGGCUAACUACGUG